rnacentral:rRNA from 1 species
AUCGAUGAAGAACGCAGCGAAAUGCGAUAAGUAAUGUGAAUUGCAGAAUUCAGUGAAUCAUCGAAUCUUUGAACGCACCUUGCGCUCCUUGGUAUUCCGAGGAGCAUGCCUGUUUGAGUGUCAUGAAUCUCUCAAUCUCAAAAGUUUUGAUUAACUUGCGAGUAUUGGAUUUGGAGGUCUUUUUUUGCUGAUGUCAAAGUCAGCUCCUCUUAAAUAUAUUAGCUUGGGUCUUGCAUGUUUGGAUCCUUGGUGUGAUAAUUAUCUACGCCAUGAUGUCCCUUCAAAGCUCUGCUUCUAAUCGUCGAAAGACAAAAAAAAACACUAUAUAAAUUGACAUCUGACCUCAAAUCAGGUAGGACUACCCGCUGAACUUAAGCAUAUCAAUAAGCGGAGGAAAAGAAACUAACAAGGAUUCCCCUAGUAACUGCGAGUGAAGCGGGAAAAGCUCAAAUUUAAAAUCUGGCGUCUUCCGGCGUCCGAGUUGUAAUCUGGAGAAGUGUUUUCCGUGCUGGACCGUGUAAAAGUCUCUUGGAAUAGAGCGUCAUAGAGGGUGAGAAUCCCGUCUUUGACACGGACUACCAGUGCAUUGUGAUACACUCUCAAAGAGUCGCGUUGUUUGGGAAUGCAGCGCAAAAUGGGUGGUAAAUUCCAUCUAAAGCUAAAUAUUGGCGAGAGACCGAUAGCGAACAAGUACCGUGAGGGAAAGAUGAAAAGCACUUUGGAAAGAGAGUUAAACAGUACGUGAAAUUGUUGAAAGGGAAACGCUUGAAGUCAGUCGCGUUUAUUAGGACUCAACCUUGCUAUCUUUGCUUGGUGUAUUUCCUAGUCAACGGGCCAGCAUCGAUUUUGACCGGUGGAUAAGGUUCAGGGAAAUGUGGCACCUUCGGGUGUGUUAUAGUCCCUGUUCACAUACAUCGAUUGGGAUCGAGGACCGCAGCACGCCUUUAUGGCCGGGGUUCGCCCACGUUCGUGCUUAGGAUGCUGGCAUAAUGGCUUUAAACGACCCGUCUUGAAACACGG